GCAAACUUGAUAUUAAAGAAUCUCAGGUAUUUUGGCUAUAUAAAGUGAGAAGAAAAGUUCAAUUGAUCAUUUUUAUUACAAUUGCAAUAAUGAUAAUAUCAUGAUAAUUGUACUGUCAGCACAGAAGAUCCUCAGUCAUAGUUAACAAAAUGGAAAAAAUUAGCUGUGUUUUUAAGAUUCCAGUGGUGGCCAUCAACUGCUCAGGAAAGCAGCCCAGAAUCACUUCACAACAGGUUUCCAAAGGAUCAUCAUUCAUCAGCACAGAAGGGUGGGAAAGAGAAGGCUGUUCAAAUUCUGAAAAGCCAGAGCUGCAAAGGAGGUCAAAGAUGCAGUGCAGUUGGCCCACUCAGUAGAGUUUCACUAGUGGUUCUGAUGUGGACUGGGGAUUACACGCUGGAUUGAAGUGGCCGGUCUGGAGCAGCUGUAAUUCAUCAUUCGUGCUGAUUGCGGACGAGUAAGAGCCCGCGUUGGCCCCGAUCGGCGAUCGCUGGCCAAAGCCCACCACCAGUUUGGUGAUAGGCGUUGGCUGUGAUAUCUAGUGUCGCCUAUGUGUGAAAAGGACAAGUUGAUAACAAAACCUGUUGCGCCAUGUUAUUAACCCGCGCCCGGGUGGCCCUCAGCCAACUUGGUGGGGGGGGGGGGAGGUGUAUUCGGCCACACCAGGUUAUCUUGGAAUGUAGCAAAGCUGGAAAGACGCAGUAAAAUCAAUCUAUAGGUCGCUAUUUUUCUUCAGAAUCAUACAGGUCAUUUUUGAUCAGGUCAUCGCUGAGGUCACUGGAGGUCACCAAAAGUAAAAUGAUGACGAAUUUUGGCCCCCGAUUUUGACAACAUCACAAAUUGGUUCAUAAUUCGGGAACCAAAGAAGCUACAGCGCCGCGGAAAAGCGAAUUCGAUAGCUCUUUCGAAAAUCUUUCAGGUUCUCAGAUUUGAGCUAAGGUCAACUAAGGUUCAGUUUUUGCCUCCAAAGAGCAAAAACUGAACAAUCGGCUUGCUUCGGAAGUCGUCUUUUCUUAAAAAAUUUUUAAACUGAUACCAACCUUUUAUUACGUUGAUUUUACCGGCACUGCGUUUCUCUCGUCUUCUUGGCCUAACAAGGUCAGCUUAAUAAAUUUGACCUAAGGUCAAUGUCGCAGAAAAUGCCAUUUUGCAUGUCAUUGAUUCGUUACCGUGAAAUUGAGAUUAACAUCAGUAGCGGCAGAACACCUUCAAUUAAGGGGGCAUUGCCGACUUUUGGUCUCAUUCUUUCCAUGCAACGCCCAUAGGGCUAAUGUUAAAAUGCCAAAAUCAAAGGGGGGCACGGUGCCCCGGUGCCCUCGGCCUGUUCCGCCGCCUAUGAUUAUGAUGCUUUUAGCGCUCUGCUGGCCACGUUCCAUCUAAAAUCGAUGUACAAAAAUAAACUGUUGGGAGGCGUUACAUGACCUGAGAUGACCUCAGGAGCAUACGAUAGAUCCCGAUGUUUGAGUGCUUUUGUUUCAAAAGCAGAACAUUUCGAGUUCCUCAUACUGACUGAAACUGGAGACGUCGCAAAGUUGACCUGACCCUAGGUCACCACCGAUAUCAAAAUUAAAGAUAUUCAAGAUACUGGUACUGAUUCUCUCAUGUAAUAGCUCGAGUUUCAAACUUCUACUUCAUGGUGACCUGACCUGACCUUAGGUGACAUGGGGUUACUUUUUUCACAAUUGAUGCGAAUCGAUGCAUUAUACAUAAGCUAUGCUAAGUUUCGUGUCGUUUUAUCUAUGCAAGCACAAAAUUGUCAGGUGUGGCCAAAAACGCCCCCACGGCCCACCCACCUGGGGGCUGGGGAACGUUAAAGCAGUGAUGUAUUUUUUCGGUGUAUUCCACGAUGCAUCGAUCGGUGUACUUGAUAAUGCAUUAUUUAUUGCUGCGUGUGUACGCUUUUCCUCUGUUCAGUGUGAUCUGUGAUAGGAAAACUACCGAUAUAUCUCCACGCGCAUGACUGAAAGAGCUGGCGUGAUCUAUAAUAUUGGGUGUCUGUUUUUGUUUGGCAUUUUAUAAAUAAUGAGUCAGC
rnacentral:lncRNA from 1 species